rnacentral:lncRNA from 11 species
CAACAGCAAACACUCCCCGUCCCCCUUCCCCCUGUCCCCAAUAGCAAUUGCUGACAAAGGAAGAAUGAAGCUUUUGCAUCUCAGGGUGGGAUGGACUGAGGAGUGUAACUUUCCCUGUUUCCCCUCAAUAACCCAUGCUUCCCUUCUUUCGUUUGCUUCUGCAGAAUCCACGAAGGAGAAAGUAUUUGUCUUGGAUGCUAUGAGAAGAAGCUUGGAUCGUACAAAAAGGAAAACAGAUCGAGUUCCUCGACUAAAUGGUAUAUCUGGGCUUGUUUUCCAAGAAAGAGUUUCAAGCUAAGCAGAUCCGUGUGGGCGCAAGAAGGAGGACGACACCGAAAUAAGACAGGUAAAGUCUUUAACUUUUCCUUGUUUGGGAAGUUGGAUGGGCCGAGGCGAGAGAGGGGGGCAAUGUCGAUCAGAGAAAACUAUAUUGGGGAGGGGGGAGGUGAGUCGUUUUGUAAGGUGGACUAUUUGGAGGAAGGAAGACGCAG